GCCUGGCCCUAAUCUUGAUGUUCCACCUUACCUGAACAUCCGCCCGAGAACUACGAGCACAAACGCUUAAAACUCUAAGGACUUGGCGGUGCCCCAAACCCACCUAGAGGAGCCUGUUCUGUAAUCGAUGAUCCACGAUAUUACCUGACCAUUUCUUGCCAAAACAGCCUAUAUACCGCCGUCGCCAGCUCACCUUCCCUGACAGCCCAACAGUGAGCGCAAUAGCCCCUCCCCGCUAAUAAGACAGGUCAAGGUAUAGCCUAUGGAAUGGAAGCAAUGGGCUACAUUUUCUAGAUUAGAACAUAACGGCAAAGGGGGUUGAAACACCCCCUGGAAGGAGGAUUUAGCAGUAAAGAGAGACAAUCGAGCCCUCUUUAAGCCGGCUCUGGAGCACGUACAUACCGCCCGUCACCCUCCUCGCAAGCGACCAACACCCCCCCCAUAACUAAUAAGCCAUUCAGCUAAAGAUGAGGUAAGUCGUAACAAGGUAAGUGUACCGGAAGGUGCACUUAGACUACCAAGGCGUAGCUUUAAUGAAAGCAUUCAU
rnacentral:rRNA from 1 species